UACGUAGGGUGCAAGCGUUGUCCGGAAUUAUUGGGCGUAAAGAGCUCGUAGGCGGUUCGUCGCGUCGGCUGUGAAAACCUGAGGCUCAACCUCAGGCCUGCAGUCGAUACGGGCGGACUUGAGUACUGCAGGGGAGACUGGAAUUCCUGGUGUAGCGGUGAAAUGCGCAGAUAUCAGGAGGAACACCCGUGGCUAAGGCGGCUCUCUAGUACGGUACUGACGCUGAGACGCGAAAGCGUGGGGAGCGAACAGG
rnacentral:rRNA from 1 species